GACAGAGCUGCUGGAGGCUGAACCAUGGGACUUGGAGUAGGAUUUGGUCCACAGCAGCUCACUCCAUCCCGACUGUAGCCCUGGUGCUAUAGCUUGGAUCUUGACUGUCCCCCAAAGGCCAAGCGUUAGAGGCUUCUUCGCCAGCUAGGGAGGCCGUGGAACCUCCUGAGUGUGAGGUGAGUUGAGCUUCUGCCCAGACGUACUGAUCCUCCACAGGCCUGGAGCCACAGAGCCACACAGCCAGACGGGAGCCUCUGAAACCG